CAUAAGCAUUUCUGUCUCUUCUAUAUAUUUUAUAUCCUUGUAUUGCUACUGCUGUAUCAUCAUAUAAAUUAAGUGAGUCUCAGAAAUGGCUAAUAUAUGAAUGUUAUCUGAUGUUAGCAAGUUAUUUAUUUCAUGAACCUUAUUUCUAAGGCUACAUAUAUUAAUUUGAGCUAUUUUCAGCUCUUUCCUGGGUAGCUUCUUAGAGAUAGACAUAAUAUGGAAAAAAGCAAACAAACCAAGAGAAAUAAAUAUACAUUCAGAAGUCCAUUAAUUAAUUAGUGUGUGCUCCGGGGUUUAAGCUACGAACCCAUAGGCGUGGCUCUCUCAUCCCUUCCAGGCUUCUGGGAGGGAGGGUGGACAAUGAGCCUGUCAUAGCGAAUGUAAGCAAUGUCCCCACGUGCUCUGGCAGGUUUCAUGGCUGGGAUAAGUUCUUUCGUCUUCUGGCGCACAGCUUCAGGAUAGUCCUCGUUGAGGAAGAUAUACGUUCCUCUCAAGUUCUUGGCUCUUUCCAGAACAGCUACCUUGUCCUUGAACAUCAGGAACUUGACCACUAUCAGCCUCAGCCUGUCACCUGGGCCGGUGAUGGGUUUUCCAGUCCUGUGGGCAUGCACCACCUCAAUCUUCCAGUGUACCAUCUUCAAUUUCUCAGAGAUAAUUUCCCCCACUUUGUCCUCAGCCUUUGUCCAGGUCUCGUGGAUAUCUUGCAAUUCCAUCCACAACCAUGUUCUUCCUCCUUGAGUCUGAUUUAUCCAUCAUAGUUAUCAUGGAUUCACACAAAACUGAUGUCCUCUCUCAAUGACUUACAGAUUGUUGUCAUCUUGCUAUUCUCCUGUUUCACCUCAUCGAGCUGACCCAGGGAGAACUGCAAACUGUUCUUCAGGUCCUGAACCUCUCUGGUCAGGUUGUCCAUUAGUUGAAUCGACCAGUAUUUAGACAAAACACUUGAAGCUAUUUUCUUGUUGUUGUAACAACUGCUUGUAGAACUAUUUUUAUUAGUUUAAAAGAUCCUUUACCUGUGAUAGAGAGACACCACUGUCCUCAACGGUACUCCUGCCUGCUUUAGUCUUUGUCAUGGUAGCUAGCAACGUAGGUUACGAGGUUACUCCUUGCAGUUCCAGACAGGGCAGGUCACAGGGAAGAUUGAACACAACAAACAGCAGGGAUCUAUACAGCCACAAACCCAGGAGAAUCCGCGGUCCCAGCCACAAUGGCUAACCACGUUGCGGGCUGCGUUCAAGCCCUCAGUAAUCCCUGUUAGCUUGAUAUGCAGCUAGCUAACAGUUAGGCUAGCUGCUAUGCCAAAUAUUUUCUCAGACCCUGCCUUGGUUGGCAGGAUUACUGGACAGAGAGUUUCAGUCCUAGCAACUUAUGCCAAAUGCAUCCCGGGAUCCAAACUAAAAAGGUAGCUAGCUACUAAGAAACUUUGCAAUACACUUUCAAAACAACUAACUUUUCAAAACAACAAACCGAGCUCUCUCUUGUUCCCACGUUCAACAGGAAGUGUUCAAAAGGACCUAGAUUUUAACCUUUUAUUUUAAAGAUGCAAUAUGUUUUUGGGCGACCUGACAAAAUUCACAUAGAAAUGUGAGUUAUAGAUCUGUCAUUCGCAUUGUGCUGAAUGUGUCAAUGUGUAGUUCAUAUAUACAUAAUCCGUGAGCAUAAUUACUCUUACCUCAAUUAGCCACGAAAUCCCUAGUUUGAAAGCAACUGUUUACUGGAAGCUGUGCGGUGCCAUUUUCCCCCCACGUGGACCAGCACCUAGCAAUUAGAGUUUUAGCCAAUGAGCUUCAGCCCCUCGCCAUUUGAGUGACAGCUAGCAAGAUGCACACACAGCAGAGCGAGACAGACCACUUUUGGCUCAUGAGCGCUACUUUCAAAACUACUGGCUAGAAAGUACACAAAAGUACAGAAAAAUCUCUUUAAUCCCCAACAUUACCCAUUUUCUUGGAUAUGGCUCAAUAUUGAUCUAUAUAUAUUGAUCUCUUUCAUUCAUUUCCAGCAUAAUAAUAAUAAGGUCCAGUGAAUUGACUAGUGGAAAAGGUAAGUCCUAUAUACAGUAGAGCAAUGUUAUCUUUUCUGUCUAAUUCAAAUGAUUCACAUGGUAAUUUGGUGUCGGGGCAGAACAUGAUGCCUUUCUGGGCAGCAGUAAUUUGCAUGGCUCUCACAUUAAACAACUUCAGAGACAAUUGCACUGAGUGGAGACCAUUUAAUAUGUUCUACCACUUAUCCCCGGGUGUGUGUCUAAUAGAAUUGUCCUGCAGUGUCGUUGAAGCCACCCUAGCGUUUUCUAUUCAGCUGGAGUCCACAUAGGUAAAUGUCACCUGUUGUGAUGUCUCGCCAACGCACCGUGAGGCCCAUUAUCCCACAUUAACGGAAGCCCGCUGUCGCCCUGGGUCUGUGUCACACGGAGCGACUUGGAGAGAGAGAGAGCCCAGCCAGGCUUCAGCAGUCACCCUGAGUCAUUGGCCAGAGGUAGGUGGUGCUGGGCCGGGGUUUGGGACAGCGUUUUUAACAGCCGACCCAUCCUUCAGACAAUGAGUCAUGCCGUAACCAGAGUAAUUGAAGCCAUCCCUCAUGUCGUCAUCCUGGUGAAACAAAACAAAGACGGACCCACAGUGUUGUACCCUUUAUCUGAGGAUGCCUCCAGGCAACAUCUACAGCGGCUUCAUUAACACAGGGGACACAGCUGAAUGUCUCCCAGAUAUUACACCCUCCGUUCCUCCGCUGCAGCAACAACAAGCUGACACACCUAGAUAGCCUCAGAUGACCUGACACACAUUUCCUUAAAAAUGGCCAACUUAAUAUCCGUCUGACUGCCCUACACUGCUCAUAUGUUCAGUCAUGAGGCUCUGGGAUUUGGUCUAACAGUUUCUGCCACCACCUUUGGUGCAUGUAAGUCUGUUUGAGUGUGGGAUCGGUCGAAUCCCAGUCCCAUAUCGCAUUUUCAACACAUUUUCUCCAUCUUUCCUGUUUCUCCACUAUCUCUUCUAUAGCAAUGAACAAUUACUAGAGUGGAACUCCCACUCUUUAAAAAUGGUUCAGUCAUGAGCACAGGAAUCUGCUGAAGGGAGGACGGCUCAUAAUAAUAGCCGGAACAGAGCGAAUUGAAUGUAUUUGAUACCAUUCCACUUAUUCUCACGAGCCCGACCUCCCCAAUUAAGAUGCCACGAACCACCUGUGGUCAUGAGUCUGGGCUUUGCAGUGACGGUCUUAUAGGGAAUUAUACUCAAGCCUAGAGUGUUUAUUUACCCUGUG